UUCCGCUCUUUCUAUCGUGUAAUACGUGGUAUUGAUUGAUCGGCUUAGAAUCUAAUAAUCCUUUCCACUGAGCCACGCCUCGAAAAUUAGCUCGGUCUUCGGAUCUGACGAUUUCUGAAAGAAUCUUGCCUGCGAAGGUCAUCUUUUCAAUAAUUUUUGAACGAGUGCAUGUCAGUAAUUUUUGAAUGUGCAAAGAUACAGAAGACAAAACGGAGGCGAAAGUAGUUCCAAUAGCCAUGAAGUGUUGAGAGGGAACAGAAUCGACUGUUAUCUGAAUUGUAAUUACUUCAAGAGAAGAUACGAGAAUAUCAAUUACGCGCAGCUUGAUAGUUAAACAUUCGACGUCAGAAGUGAAACACAUUUACAUUGCACUUCCUGUUCUUCCAUACAUCGGACGAUACGUUCUACAUGGAUACUAUAAAUGUUCGACCAUCAAUCAGAUAACGAAACGAAAACAUUUUCCUCUUUAAUCUUAUAUUUAAAUGGUCAAUCAAUCAAUGCUGUGUUUACCGAAUGUUACUGAAUUUUCACACAGAUUUUAUGAUGGCAACGGAAGUAUUGUCAUUGAUGAUUGGUAGAAUAUUAUUAUAGUAACCAUCGACUUCAAUAUUGAAUUUUAAUACACGAGUUGCGAAGAAAUCAGAUAUAAGUAACUUGUUACAUAUCUUAUUCAAUUUUCUAUAUUAAUUUCAUCUUUUAUAUUAUGGUGCAUUGGAUCGUUAUAGCAGAAGAGUGAUUCAAGAGACAGUUGGAAAUUCUAACCAACGAAGGAACAUUGUUAGCUAUUGCUUUUGCGUGCAUUAUGUGAUUGGGAAUACCUUGGAAAUAGAAAAAGGAGAAAAAUUAUUUGUUUUUUUCCGACGAAUUUUGCAAAGACCAACAUGGCAUUGUUUUAUUAAGUUUGGAACGGCGGUAAGAGGAAAUGGGAAGGAUUUACACUUUUCAAAGGAUUCAAACAUAAGUGGCUUUGACUGUAAGUCACAUGGGAUUGUACUUAGAGAGAUUUGUCGAAGGGCCGUCGGACGUUCUAUGCGGGGCAAUGGUCAAAGGGGAAUUGAAAUGAAACUGAGGGAGAAAACAUACAGGGACGAUGAAAUGAUUCACCGUUUUUGGAAGUAAUAACGUUACCAGGGAAAUACUUUUAAAUUAUACGGAAAUGGAAAGUCCACGGACACGUCAUCGUUAUCCCAUCGAUUUAAAUUAGGAUUACGUUUGCGCGAUAAAGUGCCAUCGAUUUGUUGAGAGCUAACGACCGAAAGGACUCUGGGCACAAAUGGUUAUUACGUCUUAUGCACAUUAAUUGCUUUCACGGACGGAACCAGAGAGGUACUAAAGAUAAUUUUAAGCUAAAAUAUUCAUAAUUUGUACUUUUGAUCUCUGGGUGAUUACAUCUGAGUUACGUCACUGCGGGUAAUGUCAACAAAAACGAAUAUUUGAAUGACUUUGACGAUUGCAGUCUUUUUAUAAAGGUGACUACUUCAAACUUAAUACUUCAGAUAUUUGUAAAUUUAUUAGAACUAUAUACA